rnacentral:siRNA from 1 species
GAUGGGUUCAUGUAGUAACAUU